GGAUGACGUUGGGAAACGAACGCUAAUACCGCAUAAAAUAUCGGAGUCGCAUGGCACUGAUAUCAAAGGAGCAAUCCGCUGAAAGAUGGGCUCGCGUCCGAUUAGGCAGUUGGCGGGGUAACGGCCCACCAAACCGACAAUCGGUAGCCGGACUGAGAGGUUGAACGGCCACAUUGGGACUGAGACACGGCCCAGACUCCUACGGGAGGCAGCAGUGGGGGAUAUUGCACAAUGGGGGAAACCCUGAUGCAGCGAUGCCGCGUGAAUGAAGACGGCCUUCGGGUUGUAAAGUUCUGUCGCAGGGGACGAAAAUGACGGUACCCUGCAAGAAAGCUCCGGCUAACUACGCGCCAGCAGCCGCGGUAAUACGUAGGGAGCAAGCGUUGUCCGGAAUUACUGGGUGUAAAGGGAGCGUAGGCGGGAGGAUAAGUUGAAUGUGAAAUCUAUGGGCUCAACCCAUAGCUGCGUUCAAAACUGUUCUUCUUGAGUGAAGUAGAGGCAGGCGGAAUUCCUAGUGUAGCGGUGAAAUGCGUAGAUAUUAGGAGGAACACCAGUGGCGAAGGCGGCCUGCUGGGCUUUUACUGACGCUGAGGCUCGAAAGCGUGGGUAGCAAACAGGAUUAGAUACCCUGGUAGUCCACGCGGUAAACGAU
rnacentral:rRNA from 1 species